rnacentral:rRNA from 1 species
AAAUUGAAGAGUUUGAUCAUGGCUCAGAUUGAACGCUGGCGGCAGGCCUAACACAUGCAAGUCGAACGGUAACAGGAAGCAGCUUGCUGCUUUGCUGACGAGUGGCGGACGGGUGAGUAAUGUCUGGGAAACUGCCUGAUGGAGGGGGAUAACUACUGGAAACGGUGGCUAAUACCGCAUAACGUCGCAAGACCAAAGAGGGGGACCUUCGGGCCUCUUGCCAUCAGAUGUGCCCAGAUGGGAUUAGCUAGUUGGUGAGGUAACGGCUCACCAAGGCGACGAUCCAUAGCUGGUCUGAGAGGAUGACCAGCCACACUGGAACUGAGACACGGUCCAGACUCCUACGGGAGGCAGCAGUGGGGAAUAUUGCACAAUGGGCGCAAGCCUGAUGCAGCCAUGCCGCGUGUAUGAAGAAGGCCUUCGGGUUGUAAAGUACUUUCAGCGGGGAGGAAGGUGUUGUGGUUAAUAACCGCAGCAAUUGACGUUACCCGCAGAAGAAGCACCGG